GACGAACGCUGGCGGCGUGCUUAACACAUGCAAGUCGAACGGAAAGGCCCUGCUUUUGUGGGGUGCUCGAGUGGCGAACGGGUGAGUAACACGUGAGUAACCUGCCCUUGACUUUGGGAUAACUUCAGGAAACUGGGGCUAAUACCGGAUAGGAGCUCCUGCUGCAUGGUGGGGGUUGGAAAGUUUCGGCGGUUGGGGAUGGACUCGCGGCUUAUCAGCUUGUUGGUGGGGUAGUGGCUUACCAAGGCUUUGACGGGUAGCCGGCCUGAGAGGGUGACCGGCCACAUUGGGACUGAGAUACGGCCCAGUCUCCUACGGGAGGCAGCAGUGGGGAAUAUUGCACAAUGGGCGGAAGCCUGAUGCAGCAACGCCGCGUGCGUGAUGACGGCCUUCGGGUUGUAAACCGCUUUCGCCUGUGACGAAGCGUGAGUGACGGUAAUGGGUAAAGAAGCACCGGCUAACUACGUG
rnacentral:rRNA from 1 species